rnacentral:rRNA from 1 species
GACGAACCGUGCGAACGUUGUUCGGAAUCACUGGGCUUAAAGGGUGCGUAGGCGGGCUCGUCAGUCGGGGGUGAAAUCCCACGGCCCAACCGUGGAAGUGCCUCCGAUACUGCGGGCCUAGAGGGGAACAGGGGCAUGCGGAACUUCCGGUGGAGCGGUGAAAUGCGUAGAUAUCGGAAGGAACACCGGUGGCGAAAGCGGCGUGCUGGAUUCCUACUGACGCUGAGGCACGAAAGCCAGGGGAGCAAACGGG